rnacentral:rRNA from 1 species
GCAAGUCGAGCGAUGAAGCACCUUCGGGUGUGAAUUAGCGGCGAACGGGUGAGGAACACGUGAAGAAUCUGCCUUCAACUCUGGGAUAACUCCGGGAAACCGGGGCUAAUACCGGAUAUGAGCCUUGAUCGCAUGAUCGGGGCUGGAAAGUUUUUCGGUUGAAGAUGACUUCGCGGCCUAUCAGCUUGUUGGUGAGGUAAUGGCUCACCAAGGCGACGACGGGUAGCCGGCCUGAGAGGGCGACCGGCCACACUGGGACUGAGACACGGCCCAGACUCCUACGGGAGGCAGCAGUGGGGAAUAUUGGGCAAUGGAGGAAACUCUGACCCAGCGACGCCGCGUGAGGGAUGAAGGCCUUCGGGUUGUAAACCUCUUUCAGUAGGGAAGAAGCGAAAGUGACGGUACCUACAGAAGAAGCACCGGCUAACUAUGUGCCAGCAGCCGCGGUAAUACAUAGGGUGCAAGCGUUGUCCGGAAUUAUUGGGCGUAAAGAGCUCGUAGGUGGUUCGAUACGUCGGAUGUGAAAAUCAGGGGCUCAACCCCUGACCUGCAUCCGAUACGGUCGAGCUAGAGUUUGGUAGGGGAGACUGGAAUUCCUGGUGUAGCGGUGGAAUGCGCAGAUAUCAGGAGGAACACCGAUGGCGAAGGCAGGUCUCUGGGCCAAUACUGACACUGAGGAGCGAAAGCGUGGGGAGCGAACAGGAUUAGAUACCCUGGUAGUCCACGCCGUAAACGGUGGGCGCUAGUUGUGCGAACCUUCCACGGUUUGUGCGACGCAGCUAACGCAUUAAGCGCCCCGCCUGGGGAGUACGAUCGCAGAUUAAAACUCAAAGGAAUUGACGG